GACAGUUCACUAGCACCCCCCCCCACUUGGGUUUAAAAAUUAAAAGCCUGUGGUGAAGCUGGUGUACAACAGAAGCAAUAACAAGUACUCCUACACCAGUAACUCGGACGACAACCUGUUGAAGAACAUCGAGCUGUUCGACAGGCUGUCGCUCAGCUUCAACGGCCGCGUCCUCUUCAUCAAAGAUGUGAUUGGAGACGAGAUCUGCUGCUGGUCCUUUUACGGUCAGAGUCGCAAGCUGGCCGAGGUGUGUUGCACCUCCAUUGUCUACGCCACGGAGAAGAAGCAGACCAAGGUGUGCAUGAGUGCAGCCAUGUUCAGACCAACCAUUGCCCUGCAUCUCUGGAGGCUCAACAGGUUGCCUAGAAACACAACGAGGGGUCAUUCAACAAAAAAACGUGAUCUGCUUAGAGCCGAGGCAUUUCUGACACAUCUCU